rnacentral:misc_RNA from 1 species
AGCAGCCGCGGUAAUUCCAGCUCCAAUAGCGUAUAUUAAAGUUGUUGCAGUUAAAAGCUCGUAGUUGAAUUUCGGGAUCAAUACGUCGGUCGUGCUUCGGUACGUACUGGCGUAAUUGAUUUCUCCCUUCUGACGAACCAUGAUGUCAUUAACUUGGUGUCAUGGGAAAUCAGGACUGUUACUUUGAAAAAUUGAGUGUUUAAAGCAGGCUCACGCUUGAAUACAUUAGCAUGGAAUAAUGAAAUAGGACGUUCGAUCCUAUUUUGUUGGUUUUA